UACGGAAGGGGGCUAGCGUUGCUCGGAAUUACUGGGCGUAAAGGGCGCGUAGGCGGCACUGUUAGUCAGGCGUGAAAUUCCUGGGCUCAACCUGGGGACUGCGCUUGAUACGGCAGAGCUUGAGGAUGGAAGAGGGUCGCGGAAUUCCCAGUGUAGAGGUGAAAUUCGUAGAUAUUGGGAAGAACACCGGGUGGCGAAGGGCGGCGACCUGGUCCAUUACUGACGCUGAGACGCGAAAGCUAGGGGAGCGAACAGG
rnacentral:rRNA from 1 species